rnacentral:misc_RNA from 1 species
GAUGAAGAACGUAGCGAAAUGCGAUAAGUAAUGUGAAAUGCAGAAUUCAGUGAAUCAUCGAAUCUUUGAACGCACAUUGCGCCCGCCAGUAUUCUGGCGGGCAUGCCUGUUCGAGCGUCAUUUCAACCAUCAAGCCCCCGGCUUGUGUUGGGGACCUGCGGCUGCCGCAGGCCCUGAAAAGCAGUGGCGGGCUCGCUGUCACACCGAGCGUAGUAGCAUACAUCUCGCUCUGGGCGUGCUGCGGGUUCCGGCCGUUAAACCACCUUCAUAACCCAAGGUUGACCUCGGAUCAGGUAGGAAGACCCGCUGAACUUAAGCAUAUCAAUAAGCGGAGGA